CCGUGCUAGACGGGGAGACUGCGGUGCCCUGUAACCUGCAAUCCGCAACAGCAGGGUUGAAUUCCUUUGCCGAGGCGUUUGCCUGUAAGGACUGCCCCAGGUAAGUGGUGUUGAUGAUUGGGUCCUGCGCAAUGGAAAUUCAUGAACCCCGUCAGGUCCGGAAGGAAGCAGCGGUAAGUGAACCCUUUCAUGUGCCGCGGGGAAGCCUGGCUGGAGCUAACUGCCCUGGUAUCGCCUGUGGGAGUAAGUCGGGGAAAGGUGCACGA
rnacentral:SRP_RNA from 1 species